UACGUAGGGUGCAAGCGUUAAUCGGAAUUACUGGGCGUAAAGCGUGCGCAGGCGGCUUUGCAAGACAGAUGUGAAAUCCCCGGGCUUAACCUGGGAACUGCAUUUGUGACUGCACAGCUAGAGUACGGCAGAGGGGGAUGGAAUUCCGCGUGUAGCAGUGAAAUGCGUAGAUAUGCGGAGGAACACCGAUGGCGAAGGCAAUCCCCUGGGCCUGUACUGACGCUCAUGCACGAAAGCGUGGGGAGCAAACAGG
rnacentral:rRNA from 1 species